CCUACGGUGGGCAGCAGUGGGGAAUAUUGGACAAUGGGCGAAAGCCUGAUCCAGCCAUGCCGCGUGUGUGAAGAAGGCCUUCGGGUUGUAAAGCACUUUCAGUGGGGAAGAAAGCCUUGGGGUUAAUACCCCCGAGGAAGGACAUUACCCACAGAAGAAGCACCGGCUAACUCCGUGCCAGCAGCCGCGGUAAUACGGAGGGUGCGAGCGUUAAUCGGAAUUACUGGGCGUAAAGCGCGCGUAGGCGGUUUGAUAAGUCGGUUGUGAAAGCCCCGGGCUCAACCUGGGAACGGCAUCCGGAACUGUCAGGGUAGAGGGCAGGAGAGGAAGGUAGAAUUCCCGGUGUAGCGGUGAAAUGCGUAGAGAUCGGGAGGAAUACCAGUGGCGAAGGCGGCCUUCUGGACUGACACUGACGCUGAGGUGCGAAAGCGUGGGUAGCAAACAGGAUUAGAUACCCGGGUAGUC
rnacentral:rRNA from 1 species